UGCCAGCCGCCGCGGUAAUACGUAGGUGGCAAGCGUUGUCCGGAAUUAUUGGGCGUAAAGCGCGCGCAGGCGGUCUCUUAAGUCUGAUGUGAAAGCCCACGGCUCAACCGUGGAGGGUCAUUGGAAACUGGGGGACUUGAGUACUGGAGAGGAGAGUGGAAUUCCAUGUGUAGCGGUGAAAUGCGUAGAUAUAUGGAGGAACACCAGUGGCGAAGGCGGCUCUCUGGCCAGUAACUGACGCUGAGGCGCGAAAGCGUGGGGAGCAAACAGGAUUAGAUA
rnacentral:rRNA from 1 species